rnacentral:rRNA from 1 species
UACGUAGGGUGCAAGCGUUAAUCGGAAUUACUGGGCGUAAAGCGUGCGCGUGGCGGUUUGUAGUCGUCGAUCGGAAUCCCCGGCUCAACCUGGGAAUUGCGAUGGAGACUGCAAGGCUAGAAUCUGGCAGAGGGGGGGUAGAAUUCCACGUGUAGCAGUGAAAUGCGUAGAGAUGUGGAGGAAUACCGAUGGCGAAGGCAGCCUCCUGGGCCAACACUGACCGCUCAUGCACGAAAGCCGUG